rnacentral:misc_RNA from 1 species
CUUCAUCUUACAAUCUCUAUAUCUAUACCAUCACUGAACAGGUAGCAUCAUCUUCAAUCUCAGAGCAACGAGUACAUCGAUAAACAUAUAUUACAUACAUGAUAAGAAGGUUCGUACAUGCAAACUUCUGCAAUGAAAAAUGGAAGCAGGCCUCAGGCACCUUUCUGUGGCAACGUUUCAAAAGCGGACACAGUAUUCUCAAAUUUUAUCCGAUGCAAAGGUGCACCGCUUUGUUUGAUGGCACAAGCCUGUUUAUCUUCCAAUGGACAGCGUGCUUUUAACAUUGAAAACACAUGAUUAUUUAGCCUCCUUGCUUUCUUCAUAGCUUCUAGCAAACCUUCAAUAUCGCCAACACAGAAGAAUCCUAAUUUCCUCCAGGGUAUUGAAGGUUUGC